UGAUGGAUGAGGAUGAAGAACUGGAGAGGGCGAUGUUGAGCAUCUCACCCUCUAAGCUACAACUGCAGAGCUUUGCUGUACCAGUAGCAGCAGCAACAGCAACAGCAGCAGCUGCCAUACCAGGAGUGUCACCAGGAGCAAAGACAGGUUUUUAAAUAACAUGUUUCAGGACUGUACGAUACUUUUACAUGAUGAAUUGCCCUCCAAAACUGAACCUUAACAUAAACUGUUAUCUUGUUUGUCUUCUGGCCAUGUUCCGGCCAUGUUCCUCUAACAAUAUGGUUGUAUGCUGGCGUUAUACUAACUGUCCUAAGGACUAUGAAUUGAUCCCAGCUAUGAUGAACUGAUCUAUGAUGAACUGAUCUAUGAUGAACUGAUCUAUGAUGAACUGAUCCAUCUACAAUGAGGGUAAGUAUUCAUUUGUAUUCUCCAUACAAAAAAAAACAUUAAGCAGCAUUGGAUACUUGACACUUGAAUGCAUGCUUGUUCAUUGAGUCAUAUUACUCCUCCUGCUUAGACUAGUGAUAAGCAGUUAGGAUAAUUUGUUUAGUGUGUGUGUGGGAAUUAGACAUGUAAAAUGUGUGAAGCUAUGAGAAGCAGGAGAAGUAAAGUACGUAUGGCUGUUUGAGUUCCUACUAAUACCGAAACUUGCGUACAUUGUGAAUUCUGAAAUGACUGAUGAUUUUCUCUGUUGUAGUUCCAUCUGCGGCGCUGUCCAAACCCGCCCCUGACACAACUGUUCAACUGCAGGCAUCACUAGUUUAUGCUCCAGCCUCAUCAAGUGUGAAGAGGAGGACACCUGUUGCCCUUCCACCAGAGCUGGCAUUCCUAGUGAAGGAGACACCUAAUCCGAUAAAACCAAAGAGGCCUGAGUCAACUCCAGUUCCCUCAGCUGAGGCACCCGUUCCUGUCCCUCUGCCGAGGCAUGACCAAGACACAAUAAAAUGGAGCUGUUCUCAACACCAGAAGACGUGGAUGAAGACAGAGCUUAAAGAUCUCGGGCUGUGGCCUGGGUCUCGCGCAGUGCGUAACCCAGGGAACACAAUUUCACUGUGGCGUCUUCCUGCACAGCCUCAGCUCAUCAAUACGGUGGCUGAGCUCCCAUCCCCCAAUUUCUUCCAGCUCCAUCCAUUUUUUAUCUGGAAGCCUGAGAGUGACAUCAUGGCCAGGGUGAGAAACAAUUACAUCCUGCCAUGUCUUCAUAGCUGUCCUCAUCCGCAGGUGGUCUCAGCUGGUGUGGGCAGGCCUCGGGUGAUUGUUGGCACCAGUGGUCAAUAUUACAUCUUGUCCUCACGACUCUGCUGCAAGGCUUGUCGCAGGAACUGGUUUGCUGACAGUCCGCAGUGGCUGGAGAAGCUGCCCAAGCUCUUUUUCAACCUUAUGCCCGCAUUUCUGACUUACAAAAAGGCCAUCUGCAAGUCUGUGAUGGAUGAUCUGAGGCGCACUGGCAAGUCACCAAAUGAUAUGGCAAACCAGGUGAAUGAGGUCAUGCAUCUCAAGUAUGAGCGAGCUCACCUGGCCUACCUACAAACCACAGAAAGUGUCAUGAAUGCGGAGGCUGGCGUGUAUGGACAGAGGACCAUUGGGCAGUUCCUGAGGAAGGAAAACCAGUCUCGUGCUUUUGGCCAAUAUGAAGAUCCCGAUGGCUGGUGUGGAGUCUCCGUGUCAAGUCACUACCUGACUGACUGCCUUCUCAAUGAGUACAGACGUCAAGAGCCAUUCAUGUCCAAACUCCUCCAGGGCACCUUUGGGCAGGUCUUCAGGUCUGACCACACCAGGAAGGUUGCACGUAAAGUGACGUUGGCAUCUGGAGUCAUGUCCAGUUAUGCCGUCAUGAACGAGAACUGGAUGAUUGUUUCCUGGGUGAUGGUUCAGUCUGAGACUGAGAGGUCCUUGGAGCCGAUGUACCAGGGAAUGGCCAAGAGGUACAGCGACGCUGGAGUGGAAAAGGCAGGCUACCACUGGAUGGACAGGGAUUGCUGUGCUGCGUUCAAGAUCCCGGACAGCAUCCCUGCUGAGCAUUUGCGCUGGGAUGCCUGGAAGACUACUCCUUCUGUUGUUGCUGGAGCCACCUCUGGACUGCUGGCAAACACUUGUGCCUCACGGUCACAUUACAGCACCAACAUAGUUGUGAAACUGGACUUGUUCCACUGCUUGAGGCGUUUUUCACGGGAGUGCACCUCUGAGCAUCACCCUUUGUACAGCACUUUCUGCCAGCUCCUCUCCGCUGCCUUCUCUGUGGUGGAUCAGGAGGACUUAAAGAGGCUCAAGGACGCUUAUGAGUUCUGUGGCAUCCAUCCAGCCAAUCCCACCAAACAACAUACACGAGAGCACUGUAGGACCAAGAUACCACAACCCACAGAGCUGCUGGACAGAGUGGAGAAAGUCCUGAAACAUUUUCAUCUAGCUACGGACCCCAACAACGUCCCACUCUUUAAGCCAUCUAUGCUGAAGUUGUGGCGCAUACAGAGAGUGCACAUUCUCCGUGGUUGCCUCAGUGACCCUGAACUCGCAGAGGGUAUAAUGUACCGGUAUGGUGGCACUCUUCAGCUGAACCAUGUUCCUGGUGAAGGCGCCAAAGUUCCAAUAUGGAUCCCUGUCAGAGGUACAUCACAGCAGGAGGGAUACCAUUUCCACCAGGCCCAGUGGGUCACAGGGACUCAUGUCUCCACUGAAUUGUUCCAGGCCCAGGGCAUGACCGGGGUGGCACGGUGGAACUAUCAACGGCUGGUGGACCUUAAGCAGCCAGGUGUCAUCCUCCCUGCUGUGUUUGAUCCAGCUUUAUUAGUGGAGUUGAACUCUGCCUCUAAGACAGUGACUGGGCAAGACAAGUACCUUGCACUCCACCUCUCUGACAGAGACACCGGAGAGAGGUUUGGUCUAGAGUACCAAGAACCAGGCUGCCGUCCAGUCCCUCUGGAUUGGGACAAACAUAGAACCCAAAAGAGAGGUGAAUUUGCUGCUGUUGUGCCUCCAUCCAGUGUGCAGGCACCCGGUCCUGCCCAAGCCCUAGAAGCAACACCCCCCUCCAGCUGGACACCGCCACCUGGCACACCAUCCCCUGGACCAGCACCCUCUUCCAGCUGGACACCGCCGCCUGGCACACCAUCCCCUGGACCAGCACCCUCCUCCAGCUGGACACCGCCGCCUGGCACACCAUCCCCUGGACCAGCACCAUCCGUUGGCCAUCCGCUCUCUGCACUUCCAAAGCAGGAGAUGUUGACAGACGACCUCCAGGAACCUCCCGCAGCAAUGGAACUCUCAUAUGCCCUGCCCCAGCGGUCCUCGCCAAGGAGUGCCCGCACUGGACCCAUUAAGUCGGGUGGACGGGUUUUUGUGUUAGACCACACACGCUGGACGCCACCAAUGAAAAGUGCUGUUGACUGCUUGCUGCAGAAAUACCAUGGGGAGAAGGACAUGCUGCAGCGUGUGGAUCACGAUUAUGCAGACAUGGUCCAUCGGUCUGCCAGUGAUCCCAACAGUUUACUGCACCCCACAACCAGGCUACACAUAUCCCGCUAUGUGAAGCACCUGGCAAAACUCAUAAACACCAAAUCAUCUUUGAACACGAGCCCGGAAAAACUUCUGCUGACACAACAGCUGUGGCACUCUUUAACAGAGGGGAGUGAGACGGUUAGUGUUCCUGUGGUCACUAUGGGGCCGGCUAUUUACAAUCCACCUCUACCUGCAUCUGCCCUGUCCACACCUCUGUCACAAGAAUUGAUAGACAAAAUUGUGGAGGGCAUCAUGAAGCAGCAGCAGCAGCAGCAGCAGCAGCAGCAACAGCAGCAGCAACCGCAGAAGAAAAGGCAGACAAAGACCUGUCGUGCCUGUGGACAGCCCAAGUCUCAAUAUGAGACUGAUGGAUCCUCCAUCCACUUUUUUCACCAGCAAGGGCCUGUGCGCUAUUUUUAUUGUUCUAGAAGGGUGCAUCAGAUUUAUGCUGCUGAGGGACUCUCAGACCCCACAAUGCCCUUUGAAGACUUUUCCCAGACAGAGUUCUACCAGAGGGAGCUGGAGGCCACCAGGAAACGGGUGGAGGAUAUGAAAGAUAAAAAGAGGAAAAGACCAGAAUCACAACAUAAAGGCCACCUCUGCAGAUUCUGCCACUUGGAGCUGAAACAGGGACCAAACAGCCCACACAUCCAUACGGGCUUCCCUGGAGUGGCAGGGAAAUAUAUUUACUGCCCAUCGAAAGUGUACUCUCUAUACCGAAAUAAGGGCAUGACCAAGGAGAUGACCUGGACGGAGUUUCAGGAGUCUCCUUUCUAUGAGGCUGAGAGACAAAGAUGGGUGGAAGGAAAGAAUAAAUGAUUUCCAUGUAUAUGUUUUUUUAUUGAAUUAUUGUUCUGGUUGUUUAAAUAAUAUUUGACUAAAUAAAUACAUUGUAUAUAUGGUCUGUAGGCUUCUG
rnacentral:lncRNA from 1 species